rnacentral:rRNA from 1 species
UACGUAGGGGGCAAGCGUUGUCCGGAAUUAUUGGGCGUAAAGAGCGCGUAGGCGGUCCGAUAAGUCGGCUGUGAAAGUCCAGGGCUCAACCCUGGAAAGCCGGCCCGAUACCUGUCGGACUAGAGUCCGGAAGAGGCAAGUGGAAUUCCCGGUGUAGCGGUGAAAUGCGCAGAGUAAUCGGGAGGAACACCAAUUGCGAAG